rnacentral:rRNA from 1 species
UCCGUAGGUGAACCUGCGGAAGGAUCUUAACGAGUUAGAACGUGGAGGUUGAUGCUGGUGCAUAUAUAUAUAUGUGUACAUGUGCUCACUUUCACACUCUUCAUCCACUCAACCCCUGUGCACUUUAUCAGAGUUAGUAAUUGUAUUGUGGUGGGCCGUUUGUUAUUCAUUGUAGAAGCGGGGUGACCCUUUCUGGCAGCAUUAGUACAAUAUUGGUUCAACUGCUACUAUGAACACUUUGACUUAUACAAACACUUUACUUGUGAAUGUGAAUGUGUAAUGCUCCUUGUGAGCGGAAAUACAAAUAUAUACAACUUUCAACAACGGAUCUCUUGGCUCUCGCAUCGAUGAAGAACGCAGCGAAAUGCGAUAAGUAAUGUGAAUUGCAGAAUUCAGUGAAUCAUCGAAUCUUUGAACGCACCUUGCGCCCCUUGGUAUUCCGAGGGGCAUGCCUGUUUGAGUGUCAUGUAAAUUCUCAAUUCUCUCUUUCUUAAUUGAAGAAGAGGCUUGGACUUGGAGGAAUGCUGGUACUACUGUCUGUAUCGGCUCCUCUCAAAUGCAUUAGCUGGACUGUAGUUCGCAUUGUUUGGUGUAGUAAUAGUUAUCUAUCUAUAUUCACUGCAGUGCUUGCUUAGACUGUCUGCUUCCAAUAGUCCGUCUAUGUGUUGGACAGGUACUUUGUUACCUUUUGACCCAUUUGACCUCAAAUCAGGAGGACUACCCGCUGAACUUAAGCAUAUCAAUAAGCGGAGGAA